rnacentral:rRNA from 1 species
UACGUAGGGUGCGAGCGUUGUCCGGAAUUAUUGGGCGUAAAGAGCUCGUAGGCGGUUUGUCGCGUCUGCCGUGAAAGUCCGGGGCUCAACUCCGGAUCUGCGGUGGGUACGGGCAGACUAGAGUGAUGUAGGGGAGACUGGAAUUCCUGGUGUAGCGGUGAAAUGCGCAGAUAUACGGAGGAACACCAGUGGCGAAGGCGGUUCUCUGGGACGGUACUGACGCUGAGACGCGAAAGCGUGGGGAGCGAACGGG